GAUGAACGCUGGCGGCGUGCCUAAUACAUGCAAGUCGAGCGGUAAGGCCUCUUCGGAGGUACACGAGCGGCGGACGGCUGAGUAACGCGUAGGAACGUACCCCAAAGUGAGGGAUAAGCACCAGAAAUGGUGUCUAAUACCGCAUGUGAUCUAAGGAUUAAAGCUUCGGCGCUUUGGGAACGGCCUGCGUUCGAUUAGCUAGUUGGUGAGGUAAAAGCUUACCAAGGCGACGAUCGAUAGCUGGUCUGAGAGGAUGAUCAGCCAGACUGGGACUGAGACACGGCCCAGACUCCUACGGGAGGCAGCAGUAGGGAAUUUUCCACAAUGGGCGAAAGCCUGAUGGAGCAACGCCGCGUGCAGGAUGAAUGCCUUCGGGUUGUAAACUGCUUUUAUAUGUGACGAUUAUGACGGUAGCAUAUGAAUAAGGAUCGGCUAACUCCGUGCCAGCCGCCGCAGUAAUAC
rnacentral:rRNA from 1 species